GUGUCAGCAGCCGCGGUAACACGGAGGGUGCAAGCGUUGUUCGGAAUUACUAGGCGUAAAGCGCGUGUAGGUGGUUAGUUAAGUCGGAUGUGAAAAUUCCAAGCUUAACUUGGAACCGGCAUUCGAAACUGGUUAACUUGAGUGUAGGAGAGGAGAGCGGAAUUCCUAGUGUAGCGGUGAAAUGCGUAGAUAUUAGGAAGAACACCGGUGGCGAAGGCGGCUCUCUGGCCUAAAACUGACACUGAGACGCGAAAGCGUGGGUAGCAAACAGGAUUAGAUACCCUGGUAGUCCACGCCGUAAACGAUGGGCAUUAGGUGUAGGAGGUAUCCAAUCCUUCUGUGCCGAAGCUAACGCAUUAAAUGCCCCGCCUGGGGAGUACGACCGCAAGGUUGAAACUCAAAGGAAUUGACGGGG
rnacentral:rRNA from 1 species